GACGUAGGGCGCGAGCGUUGUCCGGAUUUAUUGGGCGUAAAGAGCUCGUAGGCGGCUUGUCGCGUCGACUGUGAAAUCCCGCGGCUCAACUGCGGGUCUGCAGUCGAUACGGGCAGGCUAGAGUUCGGUAGGGGAGACUGGAAUUCCUGGUGUAGCGGUGAAAUGCGCAGAUAUCAGGAGGAACACCGAUGGCGAAGGCAGCUCGCUGGGACGGUACUGACGCUGAGGCGCGAAAGCGUGGGGAGCGAACAGG
rnacentral:rRNA from 1 species